AGAGACAAGUUUCAGGAAAUGUACAACCUUCCCACCAAGGAACCUCUGCUUUUCCACUCUCCAUUCAUGACCACCCACCCAGCUUUCCAGAUGCUGAACAUGGUGCAGGCAUGAUCCUGGAGCACUGCAUGUCCAGUAGCUAAGACAACUACAUCUGUGUUCAGUUUUCUGCCUCCGCAGAAUCCAAAGGCAGUCACUACUCUUGCCAGCCUGCCCAAGUGUCUGGACUUGAGGCCACCUGAGCUGUCUGAGAGCGCCCCACAGAUGGGGAGGCAGAACAAUGCCAAACAUCAUGGAAGCCUGAUUCUGGACAACCAAAUGCCCAAUACUCAAACCAACCGCAUGUGUUUCAGAAUUCUACCUCUAGAGAAUCAAAAGGCAGUCUGAACCUUUAAGAGCUGUCCUUUAAUGUGGGCUUUGGGCUAGCUGUGCCACUUGAAAAUGACCCAGAUGUGUGAAGGUGGAUCAAGUUUCCUUUCCCCAGGUAAGCCAAUUUGGCCUGGAGUGUCAGUUGCGACCUGUAAGCAACCCCUCCUGGCAGGACAUCUCCUGGGGUACCCAGCAUCCCCAUCUGCAACCACAUCUCAGCCUAGCAGUGCCAACACCAAGCAGCUGCUGUGCUUGGAUGGCACUUCAGCGCCCUCCGGCGGCCAUUCCCUCCAAUGACAACUCAGAGCACUUCCUCCUGCCUCCUGAACAAACCCAAGGACUGCCCUGGCUGGGAUAGCUGAUUUAGUUCCUCUUCUAAGAAGAAUCAAGAGCUGUCCAGAGCGUGUACUUUCCCCCUUCAAUUCAGCUAUGGCACUCACUCCUCCCCAUCCUUCACCAUUCCUCUUAGUCAAUCAGCCACGGCCACUCUGAAUCAGGUGAACUUUUAAAAAUUAAUUAUCCUCCCCUCCUAAUUUACAUGACUUUUCUUGAGUCAUAUUUUUCCUCAGGGGUGAUCCAGAGGAGGGAGAGGCUCAAAUGGGAGAAAAAGAAGAAAUUUUUCAGAGAACCAAGAGACAGGUCUGUAGGAUCGUCACAGCCUGCCCACCAAGGAAACUCUGCUUUUUACACUCUUCAUUCAUGACCACCAGUCCAGCUUUCCAGACCCAGUGUGCAAGUCUGAUCCUGGAGCAGUGCUUGCCCAAUAUUCAAGCCAACUCCUCUUGUGUUGAUUUCCCUCCUCCUCUCACUCUAAAAACCACCACAGGCCUUAUAUGAGACAGUGAGCUCUGUCAAAAUCUCCCAGCACAGUCCUUUCUCCCUGUCCACCACUACGAGGCUGGUUGAAACUUGCCCUGCCUCCAGGACAGGCCCCAAACUCACCCUCCCCAAGGUUACUGGAGUGACCCAUAUCUGGUAUCGAGGCACAUGUUCAGGUCAAGACUGGCAAACUGAUUUUACAGUAAUGCUCUGGGCACAAGGAAAUUUUAGAUGUUUGUGGGUUUUGACUGACACCUUCUCAGACUGGAUGGAGUCAUUUCUCACCUGAACUGAGACUGCCUUGGAGGUUUCUAAGACCUUUCUCAAGGAAAGAAUUCCCUGUUUGGGCCCCCUAAGUCCAUCAAGAGGGACAAUGGGCCUGCCUUUGUUCCCCAAAUUACUAAGGGAGUCUCUAGAGCUCUAGGAAUUACAUGGGGUUUACCCUCCACUUGGAAACCACAAUCCUCAGGAAAGUAGAACAAAUCAAACCCUCAAAAGGAACUCCUGGAUUUCCCACUGUGGCUCACAAGGAGAAGGUAGUUCUGGAUCGUCGCGUGGUGUAAAGCUGUGAUUAUUUCCCCCUCUCUGAAAGGCAUAUUUCUAUUGGUCCAUAUCCCCCAGGGUGGGCUCAGAGCCAGUUCCUUCAGGAAUGUGCCUCCCAUACAUGGUCUCAUAUGGACUCAACAUGAUUUUUCCUUUAGGGACUAUUCGCAUUCGUACAAGUGCUAUGGGGAAAAGGGAGAUCAAGCCUUGAUGAGUGUCUUGACAUAAUUUGAAUGUUUCCCUUUAUUAUUUAUUUAAUUUUACUUGAGUGUGUGUGUGUGUGUGAGUGAGAGAGAGAGACAGAGACAGAGAGGUAUUCAUUUUUUUUCCCAUAUAGGUUAUUACAGAAUAUUGAGUAUAUUCCUCUGUGCUCUGCAACAGAUUCUUGCCCAUUAUCUAUUCUGUACAUUGUAGUGUGUAUAUGCUAAUAUUAUUGUUCCAAUUUAUUCCCACUCCCCAUGGUUUCCCCCUGGGUAACCAUAAGUUCAGUUUUAAGAACUGUGUUUGUUUCCAUUUUAUAAGGAAGUUUUGUAUAAUUUUACUAGAUUCCACAUAGAAGUGAUCUCAUAAGAUAUUUGUCUGAUUUACUUGGUAUGUUAAACUCUAGGUCCACCCAUGUUGCUGCAAAUGGCAUUAUUUCAUUCUUUUUACAGCCAAGUAACAUUCCAUGAUAUAUACCACAUCUUUAGCCAUUCCUCUGUCAAAGGACAUUUACGUGGCUUCUAUGUCUUGGAUAGUGUCAGUAGUUCCACAAUGAAUAUUGGGGUGCAUAUAACUUUUCCAAUUAUGGUUUUCUCCAGAUAUAUGUCCAGAAGUUUCUUUUUUUGUUUUUUGUUUUUCUUUUUAGGGCUGCAUCUGAGACAUAUGGAAGUCCCCAGGGUAGGAGUCAAAUAGGAGCUGCAGCUGUUGUCCUAUACCACAGCCACAGCAAUGCCAGAUCCCAGCUGCAUCUGCAACCUGUGCUGCAUCUUGCAGCAAUUCUGGAUCCUUGCUUAAAUGAUGCCCCAUUUGUGCACAAUGCACACUAGGCUGGUAAGUUCUAGGAACCUAGGUAUAACCAUAAUAUCAUCCAGCACUGAGAUAAAGGGGCAAAAAGAUUCCCUCCAGCAGGAGUAGGGAUUGCUCUUGGACUAGAGCAAGGGGGAUUUGGUGCCCCCCUGGGGAGGUUCUGCAUACCAUGAAAUCACUGUACAAAUCCUUACAUGAGCCCCUGAGGACUUGCCUAAAAGCACGAGGGAUGCUUUAUUUCAUGCUUAUCUGGACUCAGUAGAAAAUAUUGUACUUGACAAUAGGCUAGCCCUUGACUACUUCCUGGCUGAGCAAGGGAAAUUCUGCAUAGUUAUUAAUAAAACCCACCACAUGCAUGGGAAUAACUCUGGUCAGAUUGAGGUAACCAUAAAAGAGAUGUAUAAGCAAGCUCAAAGGGCACAAAGGUAUCCCCCCAAAGGUCCCAAUCCAAGCUCCAUCUGGAAUAAGGUCAAAGAGAGCCUUUCUAGUUUAAACUGGUUUCUUCCAUUUCUUGGCACACUGACUGCAAUUAUCCUCCUGUUCAUCUUUAGGCCUUGCUUCCAUAACUGCCUUGUCAACUUCAUUAGUAAAGAACUUGAAUUCCUCAAACUUCAGAUGAUACUAACACAAGGGUACAAGAACUGAGAGUGCAGCCUUGUGAAGCUCAGGCUUAUGUUAGACGGGGCAGGGACAGUUCUGCACUUCCAAUCCAGGGGAAACCUAUGCCCAUGUUCAGCAGGAAGCAGCCCCAGAAGACAGACCUUCCUCCUCAAGAAUGGGGAGUAGUGACGAGGAAAGGGGGUGUUUUUGCCAGAGCCGACAGCAGAUCCUUGCCAAAGCCUGCGAAACCCUCCUUGAACUGGAGUUAUCGUGUGUUGAGAAGUGAAAGGUCUGGAGACAAGAAGAGGAAGCUAUAGGAAGAGACAAACCAGACGGAACCAGGUGGAAUCAGGAUGAUGACGACUCUGGCCUCCCCAGACUCCGAGUCUCAUUCAACAGAUUUUGCCACAUUAGCUACUAGAUGACACACCUACUGGUGGUCGUGACUGGAAGAUGCUGACCAAAAAA
rnacentral:lncRNA from 1 species